UUGAGGUUUGAGUAAAGACUAUAGGAAGUAAACAAGUUUACCAGGUAGAUCUCUGUGGGCAAAACCUUCCAGGUAGAAGAACCAUCAAGUUCAAAGUUCGGAUGCAUUUAAGGAACAGCAUGAAAGAAAGUCACAGUGGCCAUUAUGAAGGAAGCAAAUAGGAGAGUGCAAGGGGAUGAGGUUAAAGGCACUUCAGGUCUGAAUUAUGUCCACACCUUGUGGGUAGGAAGAGGGCCACUGGAGGGGUUUUAAGCAGAAGAGUAAUAUGACCUGACAGCUGUCUUCAUGGGAUUACUUUGACUGGUAUGUUGAUAUAAUCUGAAGGAGGGCAGAAGAAGAAGCAAGGCUACCCUUUAGGAGGCUGAUGAUGCAACUUCAGGAGAGAAGAACCGGUGGCUUCUGCUGGAAUAGCGGUGGUUAGGAUUGUGAGAUGUGAUUGGAUUCUUGAUAUGUUUUCUAGGUGUUGGUGUCAUGAUUUGCUAACAGACCAUAUUUGAAGUGUGAAAUAAAAGGGAAGGAAGAUGACUCAGAGUUUUGACAUAAGCCUAAAAAAAGAAGUUGCCAAGGACUGAAAAGGGGAAAAGUACUGGAGAAGUUUGCUUUUAUCCUUGUUUUUCGGGAAGAGAGAGGAGAGUGGAAGUUAAAAGUUUGGACUGAGCAUUGGAAAUAUGAGAUGUCUGCUACAUAUCCAAGUCAAAAUGUGACUUUCCCUGAGAAGACGUCCCCUGACUGAGAGCCAGUUCCUCCUUGGAGCCCUGAUACCAUGCAGAGUUCUGCAUCCACAGAUCCAACCACCUGAAGACUGAAAAUAUUUUAAAAAAUUCCAGAAAGUUUUAAAAAACCAAACUCAAAUUUGUCAUGUAUAGUGACUAUUUCCACAACAUUUACAUUGUAUUUACAACUAUUUCCAUAGCAUUUACAUUGUAUUAGAUAUUAUAAGAAAUCUAGAGAUAAUUUAAGGUAUACUGGAGGAUGUAUGCAAAUACAGUGCCAUUUUAUAUACGGGUUUUGUGCUCUCUUGAAUUUUGGUAUCUUGGAAGAUGCUGGACUCUAUCGCCCAUGGAUGCCAAGGGACACCUAAU